rnacentral:rRNA from 1 species
UGCAGUCGAGCGGACAGAUGGGAGCUUGCUCCCUGAUGUUAGCGGCGGACGGGUGAGUAACACGUGGGUAACCUGCCUGUAAGACUGGGAUAACUCCGGGAAACCGGGGCUAAUACCGGAUGGUUGUUUGAACCGCAUGGUUCAGACAUAAAAGGUGGCUUCGGCUACCACUUACAGAUGGACCCGCGGCGCAUUAGCUAGUUGGUGAGGUAACGGCUCACCAAGGCGACGAUGCGUAGCCGACCUGAGAGGGUGAUCGGCCACACUGGGACUGAGACACGGCCCAGACUCCUACGGGAGGCAGCAGUAGGGAAUCUUCCGCAAUGGACGAAAGUCUGACGGAGCAACGCCGCGUGAGUGAUGAAGGUUUUCGGAUCGUAAAGCUCUGUUGUUAGGGAAGAACAAGUGCCGUUCAAAUAGGGCGGCACCUUGACGGUACCUAACCAGAAAGCCACGGCUAACUACGUGCCAGCAGCCGCGGUAAUACGUAGGUGGCAAGCGUUGUCCGGAAUUAUUGGGCGUAAAGGGCUCGCAGGCGGUUUCUUAAGUCUGAUGUGAAAGCCCCCGGCUCAACCGGGGAGGGUCAUUGGAAACUGGGGAACUUGAGUGCAGAAGAGGAGAGUGGAAUUCCACGUGUAGCGGUGAAAUGCGUAGAGAUGUGGAGGAACACCAGUGGCGAAGGCGACUCUCUGGUCUGUAACUGACGCUGAGGAGCGAAAGCGUGGGGAGCGAACAGGAUUAGAUACCCUGGUAGUCCACGCCGUAAACGAUGAGUGCUAAGUGUUAGGGGGUUUCCGCCCCUUAGUGCUGCAGCUAACGCAUUAAGCACUCCCCGCCGGGGGAGUACGGUCGCAAGACUGAAACUCAAAGGAAUUGACGGGGGCCCGCACAAGCGGUGGAGCAUGUGGUUUAAUUCGAAGCAACGCGAAGAACCUUACCAGGUCUUGACAUCCUCUGACAAUCCUAGAGAUAGGACGUCCCCUUCGGGGGCAGAGUGACAGGUGGUGCAUGGUUGUCGUCAGCUCGUGUCGUGAGAUGUUUGGGUUAAGUCCCGCAACGAGCGCAACCCUUGAUCUUA